AGGAGGCCUGGAGUAAAUAUAUGCCUUCACGGUAUUCAGGUUCUAAUUCGUCUUUUUAUAUGGAUGGGCUUACUUGUGCUUAUGGCAGUGAUUCCUCAGAGGAUGAUAGUAUAAUGCAAGUUCUUUCUUUGCUUAAUUGGUCUUAUUUUCCUAAAUCCAGCCGUCUCCGAAUUACAUACAGUGAUCUAUCGAUAACCCACAGUGCAUUUGUUUUAUUUUCGAUGUACCUUCGAGAGGAAGACGAGACGAGCCAAUGAUGACAGUAGCAUCCAUGAGUUCGCCAAAGACCAUAGGCUUGGCGUGUUUGGGCGUGGCCUGAAUACCGGCAACCUGCUAUAAAAUCUCUACCCCCUCUCCUCUACGGCCCUCCUAGAAAUGGAUGCCGCCGUUCCAGCCGGACCUGCAUCACUGCAACAAUUUACAACAAAAUGUUGUCUUGCUAUUGCUUGGAAUGGCGUUGUCGCACGUCUCCCCGCCGGCUGGGCAUGCGAGAUGCGAUGGCCCUUGCAUCCAGCGACAAUUGGCUACGGCGGCGCGACACUCGCACGUGUGUGCACGCCUUCAGCCACCAAAGCAUGCUCGCCACGGACGCCAGCGCCAUGAGCCCAUGAUAGCCCGCUCCCCAUCACAAAGGAGCGCACAACGCAGCCUGGGAGCAGGUGCCCAGCCUCGGCGACGCUGAGUCCCGUCUACUCGCCUCUCCUCUUCAACACCACCAUUCCUCUCCAGGUCGGAGCUCAAAGAUAGGAGAAAGGAGAUAAGGACGAAGCAGUACCAGAGGGUUCGCAAGACAAAAGAUGAUAG